rnacentral:sRNA from 1 species
UCUCUUCAGCACAGGACAGCAGAACCCACU